CGUAUGAAAAUAAGUUGAUAUUUGAAUUAUGGCAACACGAAUGAAUAAUGUGCUUAUUAUAAAGGAUAAUUAUUUCCACCAUGUCCUAAAUCAAAAAUCAUUCAAUUAUCUUCUGAAUGUCAUAUUUAAGACUAAUGAUGCUAGACAUAAAAUCAUCCUUGUCAAUUGUAGUAAAAUAAUGCCGGUUGCAACAGUUCCCGCGUGCAGAGUUCGGAGUUUUUCGAGUUAAUUUAACAGGAGCACCAAACAUCAUUUGUAGCUGAAGAUGAAGGAUUGUUUGCAGGAUCAAGGACUCGUUAUUCAAAUGGGCACCUCACGCCAAGUCACGAUGGUCGUCGAUUUAAGAUUGAUAAUUAUUAUACUAUUAAUGCAGCUAAACAGUUCGUGGAAAUAAAUAUUUAUGUGCG